rnacentral:rRNA from 1 species
CCUGGCUCAGGACGAACGCUGGCGGCGCGCCUAACACAUGCAAGUCGAACGAGCGAGAGAGAGCUUGCUUUCUCGAGCGAGUGGCGAACGGGUGAGUAACGCGUGAGGAACCUGCCUCAAAGAGGGGGACAACAGUUGGAAACGACUGCUAAUACCGCAUAAGCCCACAGCUCGGCAUCGAGCAGAGGGAAAAGGAGCAAUCCGCUUUGAGAUGGCCUCGCGUCCGAUUAGCUAGUUGGUGAGGUAAUGGCCCACCAAGGCGACGAUCGGUAGCCGGACUGAGAGGUUGAACGGCCACAUUGGGACUGAGACACGGCCCAGACUCCUACGGGAGGCAGCAGUGGGGAAUAUUGCACAAUGGGGGAAACCCUGAUGCAGCGACGCCGCGUGGAGGAAGAAGGUCUUCGGAUUGUAAACUCCUGUUGUUGAGGAAGAUAAUGACGGUACUCAACAAGGAAGUGACGGCUAACUACGUGCCAGCAGCCGCGGUAAAACGUAGGUCACAAGCGUUGUCCGGAAUUACUGGGUGUAAAGGGAGCGCAGGCGGGAAGACAAGUUGGAAGUGAAAUCCAUGGGCUCAACCCAUGAACUGCUUUCAAAACUGUUUUUCUUGAGUAGUGCAGAGGUAGGCGGAAUUCCCGGUGUAGCGGUGGAAUGCGUAGAUAUCGGGAGGACACCAGUGGCGAAGGCGGCCUACUGGGCACCAACUGACGCUGAGGCUCGAAAGUGUGGGUAGCAAACAGGAUUAGAUACCCUGGUAGUCCACACUGUAAACGAUGAUUACUAGGUGUUGGAGGAUUGACCCCUUCAGUGCCGCAGUUAACACAAUAAGUAAUCCACCUGGGGAGUACGACCGCAAGGUUGAAACUCAAAGGAAUUGACGGGGGCCCGCACAAGCAGUGGAGUAUGUGGUUUAAUUCGACGCAACGCGAAGAACCUUACCAAGUCUUGACAUCCCUUGACGAUGCUGGAAACAGUAUUUCUCUUCGGAGCAAGGAGACAGGUGGUGCAUGGUUGUCGUCAGCUCGUGUCGUGAGAUGUUGGGUUAAGUCCCGCAACGAGCGCAACCCUUAUGGUCAGUUACUACGCAAGAGGACUCUGGCCAGACUGCCGUUGACAAAACGGAGGAAGGUGGGGAUGACGUCAAAUCAUCAUGCCCUUUAUGACUUGGGCUACACACGUACUACAAUGGCGUUAAACAAAGAGAAGCAAGACCGCGAGGUGGAGCAAAACUCAGAAACAACGUCCCAGUUCGGACUGCAGGCUGCAACUCGCCUGCACGAAGUCGGAAUUGCUAGUAAUCGCAGAUCAGCAUGCUGCGGUGAAUACGUUCCCGGGCCUUGCACACACCGC